CUAACGCUAAGAAUACGUGUAGUCGUAUCAGAUGUGUGUAUAUGUGUACGUGUGUGUGUAAUAUCCGGUUAACGAACCAAACCAAAUAGUAGAAAAUAUCAUUCGUUGUAAAAACUUUGAGAACAAUUGGAAAUUUACCGCUGCGAAAAGGAUACCUAUAUGUAAAAGGUAUUGUUUGUUUCUGUUGAAUAAAAGAUCACAUAAAAAAUGCUAAAUAAAGAAUACUAUUAUUUUUGUUUCUUUUGUUUAAGCAUUCAUCUCGAUCAUAGCUUCUCUUACAAACAAAAACAAAAUCACGUAUACUUCUGUGUGACCGUGUCUAUUCGACAACCAUAAAUUGUUCGGCUCUUGCUAACUACCCUGUAUAUAUGUACAGAAUCGAUGCAAAUAUUCGACUCUGUCUAAUCGCAAGAACGAGAAAUAAGGAUAUGCAUUUCUUUUCUAACAUGAUGUGUAUGGAUACGCUUCCAUAAAAGAAAGAAAAAGAAACUUAGUCUCUGCACGCACCGAUAAAAUAGGCGAAUAAAUCCAUAUGACACUAUGUGUAAAUUUUGAAUAAAGGAAGAAAACUAUAUAUGUAUAAAAUGUAUAAGGAAAAGAGCGAAAACAUAUGAAAUUGUGACGCGGAGGCCAUUAUUUUCUCGUGAAGUCGUCUCAUCUUAUACACUGGACGAGGAA